GCUUAGAAUUCACAAUGACCAGAGAAAUAUCCUGAACAACUACUAUAUAGAGAAUGGCAAGAGCAUCCUAAACACUGAGCUAGCUCUGCCAAUGUGUUCAUCAACCUCAUCAUGUAUGUGUGCAUCCUUGCUAAAUAUAAUGCCAAAGUAAGUGAACUUAUCCACAGAAUUCAAAAUUUCACCAU
rnacentral:lncRNA from 1 species